GCAUCUCGCUCUCAGCGCCCACGAGUCCUCUGUUAAAGCACAGUCAAAAUCGCCACAUUUCACCGUGCGGAUACAUCUGUUGGUGCGUUCCUGUGGCCAAGCAAACAGCGCUCAACAUGUAGACCCGUUUCGGCCUCGCCGAACCCUUUCCGCGUCUCGGACGGCUUUUGUCAAGCGAACUCGACAACUUUCUUGUGCAGUUACGGGUUAUGUUCUUGAAACAACUCCACUACCUGACGAGAGCUCUUUCUGGUACAUUGACUUGAAAAUGGGUCAGCAGUGUCGUCAUUAGUUGCCCCGUCUCUACUUUAUGUCAGUUUUCGGAUCAACCGAUUAUUAGGACAGACUGCGUGUCAAGAAAAGUUCAUAGCAAGAAAUGCGCUUCUGUUCGUACGAAGACUUAUGUUUUGCGCUGCUUUCGAGAUAUUUCACUCUGAGGAAGGAGCAUGGAGCAGGUUAUGCCCCAUCUAUGUCGUAGGGAGAAUGUCGAGUGUCGCCGUCUAUGCACAGCAACCGAACAGCAGGGACUUGUGCUGUGUCUCAUGCGUCACUGUCUACUGACACUCCGGAUACUAAAAAACACAAUUUGAAGGGGGUGUGGAGUUAAUUAGACGCAGCGCCUUGCGAGAUCCGAGGGCAUGAAAAAACGUGAACUUGUCACGUGGCCUUGAGCGCCAAUUCGAAGCAGUGGAAGCAACGCCCCUUUGGACAUGUGCCAGAAAAAACAAAUUGUGUUCCUUUCCUUCAUUUUCCGCUCUAGGGAGAAAGCAUGUGGGUAAAAAGUGAGAGAGGAGUUGAAAACAAACAUAACGCUCUCCGGAAAGUCUCUCUUCAAGAGAUGACACGCUCUGGAUGGUACGCUGCACACAGGAGAGUGUGAUCUGCUCGCGGGUUCUCUGGAAUCAACCCAAGGUGGCCUUCGCGCACCGGCGAUUCCCUGCCUAAGACUUUCCAGGUGCAACGUGCCUGGAGAAGGCAAUUUGUCUUGCCAGUCUUCCCAUCUGGUACGCGUCAGGGAAAGAAAUUGUGGGAGAUUUACUCGUUCUUCUUCAAGCCAGAAGCAAUAAUCUCGAGGAAGUCCUUCUUCAGGGAGGCUCCACCAACAAGGAAACCGUCCAGAUCGGGCUGAAGGAUAAGCUCCGUGCUGUUUGCCGCGUUCACGCUUCCGCCGUACACAAUACGCACUUUGUUGGCAACAUCCUCGUUCACCUUAGCCUUCAAGAACGCGCGGAUGUGCUGCACAGAACGGAGAAUCACCACAGGGAAGAGGAGUGCUUGAGGAUGCACAAUGACGGAAGCCCUGUCAAAUCCUGCCAUAUCGGGUCCAUCCCACAGGUCAAUACAAACAAGUCCAGAAGUCCUUUUCUUCAGAGUGUGCUCUUUCAAACAAACGACAGGGAAUACGGGGAAUAAUAGACCCUUUAAUAAGCUUGUCCACAGGAACAACACGGGUAUGGCCGGUGUAAGCGUUACCUCUCGCUUAUCGCCACACAAAUGCUGCGAUCGUAGGUAAUACACUUCUGCGGUAAGCCUGCAUGCUCCGAGUAAAAGCCAAAGAUUUCCGUGGGAGAGAGAGUGGCUUACCUCAUGAACUUCCUGAGCCUGGGCCGGAGUCGCCACUUUGCCGGUACCGAUGGCCCACACAGGCUCGUAGGCAAUGACGACGCGGUCCCAGUCGGAGAUCUUUGGAAGGCAUGCCUCGAGCUGAGCGUCGACGACAUCGUUGGUCUUGUUUGCCUCCCGGUCUUUCAAAUGCUCACCUACGCAGAGCUGCAGGAGUGUCACAGGGGAAAGACAUCCAAAUGGGACGAACAGCAGGGGAGGGACCGCAAUGAACACCAACGGACGAAGCAAUAUGGACCAAGCCAUGAAUCGAGGACUCGCAAGGAGGACGCGAGCCACCUUGCCCGGAAUCUUUCUGAAAGACUUCUUCGUACUCGCGGAUCACUUGUGGACCACGUCUACAGUCACCUCCAUCUCCACCCGCGCAGGCGAGCCGAGUCACCCACCGUAGUUCCAGUGGGCACCCUUCUGAUCAUUGCGCGACACUGAAAACGCUGCUUUGCCCAGCAAGCAGCAGGCGUGAGAACUCUAAAUCGAAACGGUGCACUCGGCCUAUUCGAUGCUCCGUUUGUGUCAACGGUUGUUUACCGCGCCUUGCGCGGGUUCAACACCGUACGUGGAAACGCUUUGGGUCUACGGAGGAGCCGAGGCCAGCAGGUUCGACGACGCAGCACGCUGCAAAAAAUGAGCACCACCGAGACUUACCACAACACUGAGGUCUUUCUCCUGGAGAAUAAUGUCCACCUUCUCCGCCACAACUUCGUCGGUUUCCCCAUAGUAUUGCCUUCGCUCGCUGUGACCCGCCAGGACCCAACGCAGGCCGAAGUCCUUGAUCAUUUCGACGCUGCAGGAACGAGAAAGCAGGAACCCGCAAACCGUGCGGCUACCGACGCCUCUAUCGAGAGAAACGGAGAUGACCCCCCGCAGCUGCCUCCGGAAAAGCACGAGUGAACUGUGAAAUAUGUUCCCUAGUCAUGAUUCUCCACUGCCGAAAGGGAGAGACUGCCGGCCCUUUUUCGUGUAUGAAAACGGCCGCCGACGUGUAAGCGGAACGACGUGCAGCGGCACGCAGACUUAGCUAGGUAACACCAACGCUUCACUGUGCCCACGAAUACAUUUGUGCAGAGAGCCUCAACUUCAGCAAAAGUGAAACGCGAAUACUUUCCGGCUGGCGUAGGUAUUGACACACCUGAUCUCCCCAGUGAAGGCUCCAUUGUGUGUCUUGGAGCAGUUCUGCAGACCGACGUGGAACUUGCUAGGGAGUUUUUCCCGAGCCAACGAGGCAUGCAGGGCCGGUGGGAAGAUGACAACAUCUGCACACGCACACACACGCACAGAUAUGAGGGAACUUACACGAAAUGAUGCAAAGCAGUUCAAUUACAAGACGCUGCGAAGCAAGUAUGCACACAAGGUGUGGCGGACAGAUCACACGCAGUGCCGCCCGGGGAGAUCUACUGCAGACAAAUGUAACUCUUCUCUAUUGAGCACAAGGGGCGCCACCUUGUGCAAUCUCUCUACCGUCCCUUGAUGAACAAGACAUUCGCUGUGAGCUACGCGAGGUAAGGCUGAAACGAACAGCAACGCGGAGAAAAUCGGGGAGAGGGGGAGGGGUUAACCGCGUGUGGGUCCAGACAUCCUCGCGGAAGCUAUGGGGAUGUCAGUUGCGCUUUCAUAGCUGACAUGCCUGUACACUCCGUUCCGACAAGGUUCUGUGCCACAAAUUCGUCCCAUUGAGUCUGAAAAGGCAUUCGUUUCGACAGGUUUACCGAUAGAUUUUGGGUCGAACCCUGUUUUCCCAAAUUCGCCGCAAAGGUCCGUGAUGGAUCCAACAGUGCCAUUGCACUUCCAGUUGCCGCCGACCCACGGAGUGCGCACCAUUUUGAGAGUAUCGAAAAAAACGCGAAAAGAUUCGGGGCUUCGGGUGUCAAAAAUCUGCAGAAAAAAAGGAAUUUGAGGGAUUUGAGAGAGCGAGGA
rnacentral:lncRNA from 1 species